rnacentral:tRNA from 2 species
UGUAACUCAACGGAAUGAGAGCGCCUGGUUUCGACCCAGAAGGCCGCGAGUUCGAGUCUCGCCAGUCA